AACGCUAGCUACAGGCUUAACACAUGCAAGUCGCGGGGCAGCAUUUUCCUAGCUUGCUAGGGAAGAUGGCGACCGGCGCACGGGUGAGUAACGCGUAUCCAACCUUCCCAUGUCCACGGGAUAGCCCGUCGAAAGGCGGAUUAAUACCGUAUGAGGUCACAAGCGGGCAUCUAAUUGUGACGAAAGGUUUUGCGGACAUGGAUGGGGAUGCGUCCGAUUAGCUAGUUGGCGGGGUAACGGCCCACCAAGGCGACGAUCGGUAGGGGUUCUGAGAGGAAGGUCCCCCACAUUGGAACUGAGACACGGUCCAAACUCCUACGGGAGGCAGCAGUGAGGAAUAUUGGUCAAUGGACGCAAGUCUGAACCAGCCAAGUAGCGUGCAGGAUGACGGCCCUAUGGGUUGUAAACUGCUUUUAUGCGGGGAUAAAGUGUGGGACGUGUCCCAUAUUGCAGGUACCGCAUGAAUAAGGACCGGCUAAUUCCGUGCCAGCAGCCGCGGUAAUACGGAAGGUCCGGGCGUUAUCCGGAUUUAUUGGGUUUAAAGGGAGCGUAGGCUGGAGAUUAAGCGUGUUGUGAAAUGCCGCGGCUCAACCGUGGCACUGCAGCGCGAACUGGUUUCCUUGAGUGCGCUGAAAGUGGGCGGAAUUUGUGGUGUAGCGGUGAAAUGCUUAGAUAUCACGAAGAACUCCGAUUG
rnacentral:rRNA from 1 species